rnacentral:pre_miRNA from 1 species
UGGGGGAAGCACAGGGCUGUGUCCCCGGCGCCCUGGGCUCCGGGGCCUGUGCUGCUGGAAUCGUGCUCCUGCCGGGCAGCCCCCU